rnacentral:rRNA from 1 species
GUGCCAGCAGCCGCGGUAAUACCAGCUCUCCGAGUGGUGUGGAUGUUUAUUGGGCCUAAAGCAUCCGUAGCUUGCUGAUCAAGUCCCCUGUUAAACCCAACGAAUCAAUCGUUGGAUUGCGGGGGAUACUGCUCGGCUAGGGGACGGGAGAGGCCGACGGUAUUUUCGGGGUAGGGGUGAAAUCCUAUAAUCCCGAGAGGACCACCAGUGGCGAAGGCUGUCGGCUAGAACGCGCCCAACGGUGAGGGAUGAAAGCUGGGGGAGCGAACCGGAUUAGAUACCCGGGUAGUCCCAGCUGUAAACGAUGCAGGCUAGGUGUUUGGGCGGCCACGCGCCGCUCUAGUGCCGCAGGGAAGCUGUUAAGCCUGCCGCCUGGGGAGUACGGCCGCAAGGCUGAAACUCAAAGGAAUUGGCGGGG